rnacentral:misc_RNA from 1 species
GAUGAAGAACGUAGCGAAAUGCGAUAAGUAAUGUGAAUUGCAGAAUUCAGUGAAUCAUCGAAUCUUUGAACGCACAUUGCGCCCCCUGGUAUCCCGGGGGGCAUGCCUGUUCGAGCGUCGUUUCACCACUCAAGCCUCGCUUGGUAUUGGGCAACGCGGUCCGCCGCGUGCCUCAAAUCGACCGGCUGGGUCUUCUGUCCCCUAAGCGUUGUGGAAACUUUCGCUAAAGGGUGUUCGGGAGGCUACGCCGUAAAACAACCCCAUUUCUAAGGUUGACCUCGGAUCAGGUAGGGAUACCCGCUGAACUUAAGCAUAUCAAUAAGCGGAGGA